UACGUAGGGGGCUAGCGUUGUCCGGAAUCAUUGGGCGUAAAGAGCGUGUAGGCGGUCCGGUAAGUCCGCUGUGAAAGUCGGGGGCUCAACCCUCGAAUGCCGGUGGAUACUGUCGGGCUAGAGUGCGGAAGAGGCGAGUGGAAUUCCUGGUGUAGCGGUGAAAUGCGCAGAUAUCAGGAGGAACACCGGUGGCGAAGGCGGAUCUCUGGGCCGAUACUGACGCUGAGGAGCGAAAGCGUGGGGAGCGAACAGG
rnacentral:rRNA from 1 species